CUGAGACGCCGGCAUCCACAAGUACUGACCCCUCCGUACGUCUCUACAAUGUUGUUCAUCAUUCUACUGAAGGGGUAUGAAAAGACCCCGUCCCACACUGACAAGCAUCGUAUAGUGCAGAGGAUCAGGUAUGAGCUGUGGAGGGAUCACAAUGGCCAGCACAAGAGGAUGUCCAUCUUGAAGAAAUGUCAGAUCUCAAGAGGUGGCAUUCAGAUCGGAAAAGAGAGAUCUGUGACAGAAUAUGCCCAGAUGUUCCUGUUCCCUCCGUCCGCUGCAGGCCUUCCAGAAAGGCAGUGGUGGAGGUCUCUGCGUCAGAAGAGGGGGAGGAGCAUGCCUGACUUUCUGGGCAGCAGAAUGCCCCUACCCCAUCUGAUGUGGGUGAAGUGAUGGAGUCUGAAGAGGCCAUACCCUCACACCACCCUCUUUACCACCCCCCCCAGCUUCUCAGGAGGAGGACAAGGACGAGGAUGAGGUUGUGACCACCCCCCACCAGGAGGGUAUAUAUGUGCUGUGGGUGUUUUAACUCAGUCACUAUUCACACACACACACACACACACAGGUGUCAGUUUAGUCUUCACCACAGGCAUAGUUUAUUGCAGCAAACAAUAAUAAGCAUGUUUAAGCUUUACCUUUAAUUUUCUUCAGCCCACACAUAUUGGAUAACAUAAAGUCCCACACUUUGAGUUCAGUCCAAGCAGGGUAACAAUACAGUAGUAUCUCAACACUCUUUACAGCCUUUCAGAGAUCAGGUUCCCCUCUCAGAUUGUUCAGCGUUCAGAUCACCUGUCCACACUUUAUCUCCCCAGCCUUUUUAACCACACCUUUAUGAAAACCCUGGAUGGGGUACAUGAGUGACCUGUCCCACCCAUUGUCUCUAAUCACUCCUAAAACCCGAACCCAAAAUACACUUUAAUGAUAAUUCCUGGGAAUCAGUAACAUAAGGUUACUUCAUUUAGGAAUACAUUCUCAUUGAGACAUACUGACCAUCCAUGAUUCUCCCCUUUGGGCUACUACAGUGCACACAGCAAUAUUAAUCUUUAUCUAUAAAAUAGUAUAAAUGGCAUAAAAACACACACAAAAAGGGCAAUGAUAAAGGUAUAACAAACACUCCAGUAAUAGAAAACAGCAACACUAUAGACAAAUUUAUUAAUCUACAGAAAAACCAUUAACUUAACAACACUAGACUCUAAUGAACUAUUCCUAACUAAACAACUAUAUAACAAAUUGAUAUGUAAAUUGUCU